rnacentral:rRNA from 1 species
GACGAACGCUGGCGGCGUGCUUAACACAUGCAAGUCGAACGGAAAGGCCCUGCGUUUGCGGGGUGCUCGAGUGGCGAACGGGUGAGUAAAACGUGAGUAACCUGCCCUUGACUUUGGGAGAACUUCAGGAAACUGGGGCUAAAACCGGAUAGGAGAUCUUGCUCCGCGGUGGGGGUUGGAAAGUUUCGGCGGUUGGGGCUGGAUUCGCGGCUUAUCAGCUAGUUUGUGGGGUAGGGGCUUUCCAAGGCUAUGACGGGUAGCCGGCAUGAGAGGGGGGACGGCCACAAGAGGCCUGAGGGACGGCCCAGACUCCUACGGGAGGCAGUAGUGGGGAAUAUUGCACAAUGGCCGGAAGCCUGAUGCAGAAGCGCCGCGUGCGGGAUGACGGCUUUCGGGUUGUAAACCGCUUUCGCCUGUGACGAGGCGUGAGUGACGGUAAUGGGUAAAGAAGCACCGGCUAACUACGUG